rnacentral:rRNA from 1 species
AGUCAGAGGCGAUGAAGGACGUGCUAAUCUGCGAUAAGCGUCGGUGAGGUGAUAUGAACCGUUAUAACCGGCGAUUUCCGAAUGGGGAAACCCAGUGUGUUUCGACACACUAUCAUUAACUGAAUCCAUAGGUUAAUGAGGCGAACCGGGGGAACUGAAACAUCUAAGUACCCCGAGGAAAAGAAAUCAACCGAGAUUCCCCCAGUAGCGGCGAGCGAACGGGGAGGAGCCCAGAGCCUGAAUCAGUGUGUGUGUUAGUGGAAGCGUCUGGAAAGGCGUGCGAUACAGGGUGACAGCCCCGUACACAAAAAUGCACAUAUUGUGAGCUCGAUGAGUAGGGCGGGACACGUGGUAUCCUGUCUGAAUAUGGGGGGACCAUCCUCCAAGGCUAAAUACUCCUGACUGACCGAUAGUGAACCAGUACCGUGAGGGAAAGGCGAAAAGAACCCCGGCGAGGGGAGUGAAAAAGAACCUGAAACCGUGUACGUACAAGCAGUGGGAGCCUCUUAAUGGGGUGACUGCGUACCUUUUGUAUAAUGGGUCAGCGACUUAUAUUCUGUAGCAAGGUUAACCGAAUAGGGGAGCCGAAGGGAAACCGAGUCUUAACUGGGCGUUAAGUUGCAGGGUAUAGACCCGAAACCCGGUGAUCUAGCCAUGGGCAGGUUGAAGGUUGGGUAACACUAACUGGAGGACCGAACCGACUAAUGUUGAAAAAUUAGCGGAUGACUUGUGGCUGGGGGUGAAAGGCCAAUCAAACCGGGAGAUAGCUGGUUCUCCCCGAAAGCUAUUUAGGUAGCGCCUCGUGAAUUCAUCUCCGGGGGUAGAGCACUGUUUCGGCAAGGGGGUCAUCCCGACUUACCAACCCGAUGCAAACUGCGAAUACCGGAGAAUGUUAUCACGGGAGACACACGGCGGGUGCUAACGUCCGUCGUGAAGAGGGAAACAACCCAGACCGCCAGCUAAGGUCCCAAAGUCAUGGUUAAGUGGGAAACGAUGUGGGAAGGCCCAGACAGCCAGGAUGUUGGCUUAGAAGCAGCCAUCAUUUAAAGAAAGCGUAAUAGCUCACUGGUCGAGUCGGCCUGCGCGGAAGAUGUAACGGGGCUAAACCAUGCACCGAAGCUGCGGCAGCGACACUAUGUGUUGUUGGGUAGGGGAGCGUUCUGUAAGCCUGUGAAGGUGGCCUGUGAGGGUUGCUGGAGGUAUCAGAAGUGCGAAUGCUGACAUAAGUAACGAUAAAGCGGGUGAAAAGCCCGCUCGCCGGAAGACCAAGGGUUCCUGUCCAACGUUAAUCGGGGCAGGGUGAGUCGACCCCUAAGGCGAGGCCGAAAGGCGUAGUCGAUGGGAAACAGGUUAAUAUUCCUGUACUUGGUGUUACUGCGAAGGGGGGACGGAGAAGGCUAUGUUGGCCGGGCGACGGUUGUCCCGGUUUAAGCGUGUAGGCUGGUUUUCCAGGCAAAUCCGGAAAACCAAGGCUGAGGCGUGAUGA